rnacentral:ncRNA from 1 species
GUUAUUUGAGGUGGUAAAAUGUUGCAACCACACACCCUAGAGGUCAAAAGAGAUGUAGGAACGGCGACUCCUACCAAAUAAC